rnacentral:rRNA from 1 species
GAUGAACGCUGGCGGCGUGCCUAACACAUGCAAGUCGAACGGACGGACGAGAAGCUUGCUUUCUUAAUGUUAGCGGCGGACGGGUGAGUAACACGUGGAUAACCUACUUAUAUGUCUGGGAUAAUCUCGUAAAACCGGAUAUAAUACCAGAUAAUAUUUUGAACCGCAUGGUGCAAAGGUGAAAUACGGCCUUGCUGUCUCUAAUAGAUGGUUCCGCGCUGCAUUAGCUAGUUGGUAAGGUAACGGCUUACCAAGGCUACGAUGCAUAGCCGACCUGAGAGGGUGAUCGGCCACACUGGAACUGAGACACGGUCCAGACUCCUACGGGAGGCAGCAGUAGGGAAUCUUCGGCAAUGGGCGAAAGCCUGACGCAGCAACGGCGCGUGAGUGAUGAAGGUCUUCGGAUCGUAAAACCCUGUUAUUGGGUAAGAAAAGCUGUGGAUGUAAACGCGGAUAGAGUGACGGUACCUAAUCAAAAAGCCCCGGCUAACUACGUG